rnacentral:rRNA from 1 species
AGAGUUUGAUCCUGGCUCAGAUUGAACGCUGGCGGCAUGCUUUACACAUGCAAGUCGAACGGCAGCACGGGGGACAACCCCUGGUGGCGAGUGGCGAACGGGUGAGUAAUGCAUCGGGACGUAUCCUUGAGUGGGGGAGUAACGACAGCGAAACGUUAGUGCGUAAUACCGCAUAAGCUCUGAGGGAGGAAAGACGGGGGACCGGAAAGGACCUCGCGCUGAAGGAGCGGCCGAUGUCCGAUUAGCUAGUUGGUUGAGGUAAAGGA